UACGGAGGGGGCAAGCGUUGUUCGGAAUUACUGGGCGUAAAGGGCGCGCAGGCGGCUGCUCAAGUCAGGCGUGAAAGGCCUGGGCUCAACCCAGGAACUGCGUCCGAUACUGGAAGGCUUGAAUCCGGGAGAGGGAUGCGGAAUUCCAGGUGUAGCGGUGAAAUGCGUAGAUAUCUGGAGGAACACCGGUGGCGAAGGCGGCAUCCUGGACCGGUAUUGACGCUGAGGCGCGAAAGCCAGGGGAGCAAACGGG
rnacentral:rRNA from 1 species